rnacentral:sRNA from 1 species
GGUUCUUGAGGGGCGACCGCGUACUGG